ACCUUGAUGCCAGAACUCAAGACUGAGC
rnacentral:misc_RNA from 1 species